UACAUGAAGCUGGAAUCGCUAGUAAUCGCAAAUCAGAAUGCUGCGGUGAAUACGUUCCCGGGCCUUGUACACACCGCCCGUCACACCAUGGGAGUUGGAAGCACCCGAAGUCGAUGACCUAACCGCGAGGGAGGAGUCGCCAAGGUGAAGCCAGUGACUGGGGUGAAGUCGUAACAAGGUAGC
rnacentral:rRNA from 1 species